rnacentral:rRNA from 1 species
AUUGAACGCUGGCGGCAUGCCUUACACAUGCAAGUCGAACGGCAGCACGGGAGCAAUCCUGGUGGCGAGUGGCGGAACGGGUGAGUAAUGUAUCGGAACGUGCCCAGUAGUGGGGGAUAGCCCGGCGAAAGCCGGAUUAAUACCGCAUACGACCUGAGGGUGAAAGCGGGGGAUCGCAAGACCUCGCGCUAUUGGAGCGGCCGAUAUCAGAUUAGCUAGUUGGUGGGGUAAAGGCCUACCAAGGCUACGAUCUGUAGUUGGUCUGAGAGGACGACCAGCCACACUGGGACUGAGACACGGCCCAGACUCCUACGGGAGGCAGCAGUGGGGAAUUUUGGACAAUGGGCGCAAGCCUGAUCCAGCAAUGCCGCGUGCAGGAAGAAGGCCUUCGGGUUGUAAACUGCUUUUGUCAGGGAAGAAAUCUUCUGGGCUAAUACCCCGGGAGGAUGACGGUACCUGAAGAAUAAGCACCGGCUAACUACGUG